UACUCCUCAUCAAAUGCCACCUUGACUGAUGUACAGAAAAGCAUUACAUGCACCAAGGAACUACUGGACAAGACAUUGGACUCUUUAAAAGAGAAAACUGCAUCUGUUAUUAACAGCUACUCUAUAUCAAAUGAUGAUGAUGCUGUACAGUCUUUAAUGCAAGAUUUUGAAAAUGCACGAAAUAUGUUUUCAGAGGUCGAUACUCCCUACAAAAUGUGCAAAUAUUUUUCUGAAAAACACUCCCUUGUCAAGCCCACAGAAAUUUUCUUAGGACACAGAGGUGACACUGCUAGAAAGCAGGGAAAAUUUUCUCAAGUACUAGCUGCAGACACUUUCCAGUACAUUUCAAUUAUUGAUACCAUAAAGUUCCUCUUUGGAAGUGAAAAAAUGCAGAAACUCUAUAAGCAAUCGACAAAAAGUGUUGAUGGUAAAAUGCGAGAUUAUUGCGAUGGCACACAUUUUGCGAAUCAUACGUUAUACAACAGGUAUCCCAAUGCUCUACAAAUCCAAAUGUAUUUUGAUGACUUGGAAACGACCAAUCCUUUGGGGUCAAAAACAAAAGUUCACAAAAUGGGAGCUGUUUACUUUUGUUUAAGAAACUUGCCUGUGGAAUUGAACUCCUCCCUUGCAAACAUCCACCUCUGUCUACUCUUUAAUUCUAUCGACCGGGAAACCUAUGGCUUUGACAAAAUAUUAGCACCUUUUUUAGAUGACAUUCGAAGACUUGAAACGGAUGGGAUAGAGGUUGUAAUUGAGGGUCAGAUUUCUGUGCUUCAUGGUACUAUCUGCCUUUUGACCGCUGAUAAUCUGGCUUGCCAUUCACUUGGUGGGUUUUUAGAGAGCUUUUCAGCUAACAGAUUUUGCCAUUUUUGUCUAACUGACAAACAAACUGCCCAGUGUGUGUUUGAUGAUGAUCACCAGGAGUUUCGUGACAAAGUAAACUAUGAAGAGCAUGUCUUGCAAAAUACUCCAAGUUUAACAGGAAUAAAAACAUAUUCCUGUUUAAACUCACUAAAUUACUUUCAUGUUACUGAAAAUAUUUGUGUGGAUGUUAUGCACGACAUUUUGGAGGGUGUUGCUUUAGUUGAAGUAAAACUGAUGUUAAAACAUUACAUUUAUGAAGACAAGUUGUUCACUUUGGACCAGUUCAAUGACAGAUUAGAAAGCUUUGACUAUGGUGUUGCAAAUGAAAAAAACAAACCAAGUGUUAUUCUUAAUUUAAGAACAUCAGAUAAUCCCAUAAAACAAACAGCAAGUCAGAUGUGGUGUCUCUUGCUCUUUUUACCUUUUCUGAUUGGAGAUUUUGUCAGUGAACAUGAUCAA
rnacentral:lncRNA from 1 species